GAAAUCCGCUCGCCGUGGUGGGAACGUAAAUUCUAAACUUCUAGAAGACAAUCGCCCGUCAUUGCAGGGGAGCCGGGAAUACCCGAAGACCCGUAUUAUUAUAUGGGGCCACGGUAGGCUCGGUGACAAAGCAAAAGUCGUAACAAGGCACGGGUAGGAGAACCUGCUCGUGGAUCACCUCCUUU
rnacentral:rRNA from 1 species